UCUUUGGGAAGUGAUGAUUGGAAGAACAAGAGAAAACAAAAUGUAAAAAAAAAAAGAAAGACAGGAGGAAGAGUAUUAAGAAAUAUGGCAUGAAGAAUUAACAGAUCAUGGUCAUCAGAUUAGAACAAAAGUAUUAUUAACAGCCAAAUUUUUAUCCCAAAAUACUUAACUGUAAUGAAAAUUAGCUGCAUGAGUGUUUCCCUCUUCCUUUUUAUUAUUUAUGCAGGAUUACAAACAAAAUCUUACUUCAUUCAGUCCUUAACUCUGAACAAAACUUCAUUUAUUUAAUUUAAGUAAAAAAACGUAGAGAAUUAGCUUACCAAAAGAACUCCAACUCCCACAAAGAUGCCCAAUACCAGCGAUGCCCUUCUGUCAAAGAGACUUGAGAUGGUCACUGGACAACUCUACAUAGAAAAGUUGUCUAUGAACCCUUUCGGCUUGGGACAGGUCUCCUUAACAAUCUCUAUCAGUGGGAUGCCGGUCAGGCCACAGCAGUCGAU